UACGGAGGGGGCUAGCGUUGUUCGGAAUUACUGGGCGUAAAGCGCACGUAGGCGGCUUUGUAAGUUAGAGGUGAAAGCCCGGAGCUCAACUCCGGAACUGCCUUUAAGACUGCAUCGCUAGAACGAUGGAGAGGUGAGUGGAAUUCCGAGUGUAGAGGUGAAAUUCGUAGAUAUUCGGAAGAACACCAGUGGCGAAGGCGACUCACUGGACAUCUGUUGACGCUGAGGUGCGAAAGCGUGGGGAGCAAACAGG
rnacentral:rRNA from 1 species